rnacentral:rRNA from 1 species
GGGGGGGGGGGGGGGGGGGGGGGGGGGGGGGGGGGGGGGGGGGGGGGGGGGGUGGGGGCGGGCGGCGAGGGGCGAACGGGGGAGGGAGGCAGGGGAAGGUGGCCAGGAGGGGGGGAGGGCGCGGCGAAGGCGGGAUGAAUACGGCAGAGGACCGGAGGGUGAAAGGGGGGGACCGAAAGGCCCCGCGCCAUGGGAGCGGCCGAUGUCGGAUUGGCGAGUUGGUGGGGUAAGGGCUUACCAAGGCGACGAUCCGUAGCUGGUCUGAGAGGACGACCAGCCACACUGGGACUGAGACACGGCCCAGACUCCUACGGGAGGCAGCAGUGGGGAAUUUUGGACAAUGGGGGCAACCCUGAUCCAGCCGUGCCGCGUGCGGGAAGAAGGCCUUCGGGUUGUAAACCGCUUUUGUUCGGGAAGAAAUCCUCUGGGCUAAUACCCCGGGGGGAUGACGGUACCGGAAGAAUAAGCACCGGCUAACUACGUG